AACGAACGCUGGCGGCAUGCCUAACACAUGCAAGUCGAACGAGACCUUCGGGUCUAGUGGCGCACGGGUGCGUAACGCGUGGGAACCUGCCCUUAGGUUCGGAAUAACUCCCCGAAAGGUGUGCUAAUACCGGAUAAUGUCUUCGGACCAAAGAUUUAUCGCCCUUGGAUGGGCCCGCGUUGGAUUAGCUAGUUGGUAGGGUAAAAGCCUACCAAGGAGACGAUCCAUAGCUGGUCUGAGAGGAUGAUCAGCCACACUGGGACUGAGACACGGCCCAGAAUCCUACGGAGGGCAGCAGUGGGGAAUAUUAGACGAGGGACGAAAGCCUGAUCAAGCAAUGCCGCGUGAGUGAGGAAGGGCUUAGGGUUGUAAAGCUGUUUUACACGGGAUGAUAAUGACAGUACCGGGAGAAUAAGCUCCGGCUAACUCCGUG
rnacentral:rRNA from 1 species